rnacentral:rRNA from 1 species
ACGGGUGCGGAACACGUACGCAACCUUCCUUCAAAUGGGGGAUAGCCCACCGAAAGGUGGAUUAAUACCCCGUAAGAUUUUCUGGUGGCAUCACCGGAUUAUUAUAGCUCCGGCGUUUGAAGAUGGGCGUGCGGCUGAUUAGGUAGUUGGCGGAGUAACAGCCCACCAAGCCAACGAUCAGUAACUGGUGUGAGAGCACGACCAGUCACACGGGCACUGAGACACGGGCCCGACUCCUACGGGAGGCAGCAGUAAGGAAUAUUGGUCAAUGGACGCAAGUCUGAACCAGCCAUGCCGCGUGGAGGAUGAAGGUCCUCUGGAUUGUAAACUUCUUUUAUCGGAGAAGAAACCCUAGCAUUCUUGCUGGGUUGACGGUACCCGAUGAAUAAGCACCGGCUAACUCCGUGCCAGCAGCCGCGGUAAUACGGAGGGUGCAAGCGUUAUCCGGAUUCACUGGGUUUAAAGGGAGCGUAGGUGGGUUGGUAAGUCAGUGGUGAAAUCUCCGGGCUUAACUCGGAAACUGCCGUUGAUACUAUCAAUCUUGAAUAUUGUGGAGGUAAGCGGAAUAUGUCAUGUAGCGGU